AUAUUAGGAGAUUAUUCUGACUUAACUGAUAAGAUUAUUAUUGUACAGAGAAAUAAAAAAUAUGAUAGUGAAAUUGAUGGAAUAAUAUAUAAAUAUGAUUCGUUCAAAAAAUAAAAUAAAAUAGAAAAUAAUUUUAUUGAAAAAAGUUAAUGUGUUUGUUUACUAUACACGAGAAGGCAAGAUUCAAAAUUCGGUUGAAAUAUGAAAAAAUAUGUAAUAAAAAAAAUAAAAAUAAAAAGAAUAUAUAUAGAGAGAGCGAUAAAGGGAAUUCCACUUUGAAAUAUGGAUUUACUUUUGCAGGAUGAUCAACAAAGCGAGAUUAACAACAAGCCUGUGCUCGAUACUUCGAUACGAAUCACGAUAAACCUACAUUAGGUGUAUAUAUUCACCUGUGUGUAGUUGCAUUCAUGUAUUUCUAUGUUUUAUAUAUAUAUAUAAUGUGUAUAUAACAAUUUAAUGUUGUUUUAUGUACAACGAGAGUAUACAGAGAAAAAUAUUCUUCAACCGCAACUAUUAGGACCGAACAAAUACAAACGAUGUAUGAUUUGCAACAUCUUAAUAUUUAGUUGUUUACUUUACAGGUAUAUGUAACCUCGGGUUUGGAAAGAAAAUUCCAUAGGGAUGUGAAAAAGAUGACGAGAAGGUGAAACAGGAGGAUACAACGUUCCAAUAAACGUUCGUUGGACUACGAAGCAACUAGUGUGUAGUUAUAUGUAUACCGUUAAUUCGAGAAAAUGGAUGACGUAACUCCAUCUAUAAAGCUACGAAUACCAAAAAAAAAAAAAAGAAAGAAAACGUCGAACGUAUAAACACAAAAAUAUCGAUGUGUGAGAGAGAGAAAAAAAACAUACAUUUGUUUAUGUUGACCUUGAUCGCUACUAAAAGAUUUUGAAAUAAAAAAGUUUAUGCAAUUUUUACUUGUUGAAAUAAAAGAUGAUCGGUGUAUCCGCCAUGACACUUAGCUAGACUUCAAACUUAUUACACUUGUAGGUAUAAAAAAAAAUAAAAUAAAUAAAUAAAUACAAACGUAUAUAAA
rnacentral:lncRNA from 1 species